rnacentral:lncRNA from 1 species
UAAUUAACCAAAAAAAUCAUAGGCAAUAGCCCCUGGGUACUAUAAACUUCCAAACCGGGUUCGAUUCCUACCACGGUAAGCAAACUUUUCAGCUGUGGCUGGAUGGGGAGAAUAUAUAUACAUUCUUCUAAAUGGGACAAGGGUUCUUUUCUAUAAGGAAACCCAUUUGAAAUUUGAUCAUUUUGACAAGUGAGAAAGUAAGCUG